UGCGUGGCUUGUUCCUUUUGUUGGAUUCCAUCGAUCGAUUGGAGCGUUGGUUGGUUACCUGCCCGUGAUCUGCGGAUUAUGUUUUUCCAUGCAUGCAUAACUAACCGUUGUUCUGUUGGUCGUUUUCAGGGGUUAAAACUGACAGGAACGGAGCGGAAUUAUUCCUCCGUCUAAUCAGACGCGCGUAAAAGGCGAAUGGCAAGAUCAACUGAUAUUUACAUCCUACUUACCUCCAGGGAAAUGAGCUGCGAUGAUGUGAUCGGUUCGAAUCCGAUCGUGGGGACAUACAGGAGCGUGGCCCGGCUGAUGAAACGCACGAAUCAGGCACUUGAGCAGAGGUCGACACUUGACACUCCACUCCACAGCACCGCUUAAUUUGUCAUUGUAGGUUGUUGCUUUGCUUCCACCCAGUGGUAGCUACAGAGGCCUGUCAAGUGGAGCGCCACUUGGGUAUGUAUGUAUGUAUCUCUCUCAA
rnacentral:lncRNA from 1 species